rnacentral:rRNA from 1 species
CCAGACUCCUACGGGAGGCAGCAGUGAGGAAUAUUGGUCAAUGGUCGGGAGACUGAACCAGCCAAGCCGCGUGAGGGAGGAAGGUACAGAGUAUCGUAAACCUCUUUUGUCAGGGAACAAAGGCGGGGACUAGUCCCCGGAUGAGGGUACCUGAAGAAAAAGCAUCGGCUAACUCCGUGCCAGCAGCCGCGGUAAUACGGAGGAUGCGAGCGUUAUCCGGAUUUAUUGGGUUUAAAGGGUGCGCAGGCGGCUUUUUAAGUCGGGGGUAAAAGCCGGGGGCCCACCCCCGGCGAGCCGUUGAAACUGGCGGGCUGGAGUUGGAGAGAAGUACGCGGAAUGCGCGGUGUAGCGGUGAAAUGCUUAGAUAUCGCGCAGAACCCCGAUUGCGAAGGCAGCAUACCGGCGCCCAACUGACGCUCAGGCACGAAAGCGUGGGUAUCGAACAGGAUUAGAUACCCCCGUAU